UAGGGAAUCUUCGGCAAUGGACGAAAGUCUGACCGAGCAACGCCGCGUGAGUGAAGAAGGUUUUCGGAUCGUAAAGCUCUGUUGUAAGAGAAGAACGAGUGUGAGAGUGGAAAGUUCACACUGUGACGGUAUCUUACCAGAAAGGGACGGCUAACUACGUGCCAGCAGCCGCGGUAAUACGUAGGUCCCGAGCGUUGUCCGGAUUUAUUGGGCGUAAAGCGAGCGCAGGCGGUUAGAUAAGUCUGAAGUUAAAGGCUGUGGCUUAACCAUAGUACGCUUUGGAAACUGUUUAACUUGAGUGCAAGAGGGGAGAGUGGAAUUCCAUGUGUAGCGGUGAAAUGCGUAGAUAUAUGGAGGAACACCGGUGGCGAAAGCGGCUCUCCGGCUUGUAACUGACGCUGAGGCUCGAAAGCGUGGGGAGCAAACAGGAUUAGAUACCCUGGUAGUCCACGCCGUAAACGAUGAGUGCUAGGUGUUAGACCCUUUCCGGGGUUUAGUGCCGUAGCUAACGUGAUAAAUCGACCGCCUGGGGAGUACGGCCGCAAGGUUA
rnacentral:rRNA from 1 species